GACCUCAGCAUUAGCAUUGAUAGGAGACUUAGGGAAAGACAUCACGAAAGAUCCACCCAUGAUUCACACCUUAGGCAAAAACCCACACCAACUACUGUCAAUACAUACCCUAAAUCCCUACCGGAACCAAUGGAUAUCGCUUUCUUGCGGGGACCCCUAAGUACUCAGGAGAAGCUAAGACGUAGGUCUCUGAACUUAUGCAUGUACUGUGCCGCAGAUGAUCAUGGGGUAAAGGACUGUCCAAAUCUUCCCCGUCAGAAAAAGGUGGGACCAAUCACGAGUGAACGUUCAAGGGAUUAUUGACUCAGGAGCCUCCCUUUCAUACUUGGAUGUGAAUUUCUGUAACAUAAAUAAAAUACCCCUUCUCAAGAAA